rnacentral:tRNA from 1 species
GGGGUACUAGAAUAGGGUGAGUAAGUAAUUCGAGUCGUUGUCGAUGGCUAGAACCACAAAUUAAUGUGGGUGCCCUU